CCUACGGGAGGCAGCAGUGGGGAAUAUUGGACAAUGGGGGAAACCCUGAUCCAGCGACGCCGCGUGAGUGAAGAAGUAUUUCGGUACGUAAAGCUCUAUCAGCAGGAAAGAAAAUGACGGUACCUGACUAAGCAGCCCCUGCUAACUACGUGCCAGUAGCCGCGGUAAUACGGCGGGGGAAAGCGUUAUCCGGUUUUACUGGGUGUAAAGGGAGCGUAGACGGCCGCGCAAGUCUGGAGUGAAAUGCCGGGGCGCAACCCCGGAACUGCGCUGGAAACUGUGAAGCUGGAGUGCAGGAGAGGUAAGCAGAAUUCCUGGUGUAGCAGUGAAAUGCGUAGAUAUCAGGAGGAACACCGGCGGCGAAGGCGGCUUACUGGACUGUAACUGACGUUGAGGCUCGAAGGCGUGGGGAGCAAACAGGAUUAGAUACCCGUGUAGUC
rnacentral:rRNA from 1 species